rnacentral:lncRNA from 1 species
GUCAUUCUACUUAAUUAACUUAGUCAUAAGGACAAAGCCUUAGUAUAUUUUUGCCACAUACAUGUUAUGUAUAAAUUUUACUGUUGAAUAAUACAAGUAUUCAUUGCUGACUGAAUUCUUAAAACUUUGGGAAUAGAAAAAACACAUUUAUUAAUGGAUGCUAAAGUGAUUCCUGAGAAAAAUAAUGUGUAUGGUUAAUAUGGAAAACCUUUGGUAAUGUGAUUUGGGUAUAAGAAUACUAAAACCAGAGUACAGGGUGUGAAUCAUGUACCAGGAGGGAUUUUAUUUUUAAAUAUCUUUAUUGAGGUAUAAUUGAAAUACAAUAAACUGUACAUAUUUAAAGUACCCAAUAUGAUAAGUUUUGUCAUAUGCAUACAGCCAUGAAAUCAUCAGCAUAAGCAAGGUAAUGAACAUAUUCAUCACUCUCAAAGUUUCAUAGUACCUCUUUGUGAUCCCUUCUUACUUAAUCCUCCUUGCCACCCCACCAUCACCAGACCACUGAUCUGCUUUCUUUAUGAUCAGUUUGCUACAAAUGAAAUCACAUAAUAUGAACCUUUUUUGGUCUAGCUUUUGUCACUUAGCAUAGUAAUUUUGUGAUUUGUCUAUAUUGUUGCAUUUAUGAAUAAAUCAUUUAUCUGCUGCUGAGUAGAACUGCAUUUUAUGAAUAUAUCAAUUUGUUUAUUCUUUUGAUGAUGGACAUUAAUAGUUCUAGGCUAUUAUGAAUAAAGUUUCCAUGAACAUCUAUGUACAA